rnacentral:rRNA from 1 species
CCUACGGGUGGCAGCAGUGAGGAAUAUUGGUCAAUGGGCGGGAGCCUGAACCAGCCAAGCCGCGUGAAGGAAGAAGGCGCCAGGCGUCGUAAACUUCUUUUGUCGGGGAACAAAGGGCGCCACGCGUGGCGUUGUGAGUGUACCCGAAGAAAAAGCAUCGGCUAACUCCGUGCCAGCAGCCGCGGUAAUACGGAGGAUGCGAGCGUUAUCCGGAUUUAUUGGGUGUAAAGGGUGCGUAGGCGGGCCGGCAAGUCAGCGGUAAAAGCCCGGGGCUUAACCUGUGCAGUGCGGUUGAACCUGGUGUUCUUGAGUGAAGUAGAGGUUGGCGGAAUUCCGGGUGUAGCGGUGAAAUGCGUAGAUAUUCGGAGGAACACCGGUGGCGAAGGCGGCCAACUGGGCUUUAACUGACGCUGAGGCUCGAAAGUGUGGGGAGCAAACAGGAUUAGAUACCCGUGUAGUC